CCUUUUAGACCCCACAUAGACAUAGACUUUUAUGCUGAUCAAGAAUAUAUACACUUUAUGUUCUUGAUCAGCAUAAAAGUGUAUGUCUAUGUGGGGUCUAAAA
rnacentral:pre_miRNA from 1 species